GUAGAGCAUUUUUCUACAUGCGGAGCGGCGUUUUUAUUUGCAGGUUUCCCUUCAGUAGGAAAUUGCUGGACAGGCGGACCAGCGCACCGGAAUUGUACUGGCGAAGCCACAAGCAACUCAAAGAAUCUGUUUAAUUGUUGCACUUUGAACAAUCAUGCUUCUACAAAGGCCACAGCAGAAAAACAGCCUGAUGCCGAGUAUUUCUGCCACGAAGUAAUCAAGAGGCGAGUGCCUAAUGCGGACGAAAUCGAGUGCAUCGAGACUUAGAACGACAGAAAGCUGAGCUAGUUGAUAUGCAAUGGCAAGCCCUUCCGUGUGUUCCAAAGGUAAAAUUUAAGCUCGAAAUUAAAGAAGACAUUUCUAGUCAGAAACAAGCAAAAAUGGUGAAUGCAGAGUAUCAGAAGCCCAAGGUACAGAAAUUAUGAGAAGUGUCGAAUGAUUUUAAGGAAAGAAUGGUAUUUGAAGAUGCAAGAUUCUUUAGUGGAAAUCAAGCAAGUCAGUAUAGGUAGAAUACUCUGAGAAAUUAUGCGAGUAAUGGGAUAGCACACAAUGGGUCAGGAAAUGCGUUGUUUUUCUGAAAAACUAAAGCUGAUGACUGUCAUAUCAUGAGUCACUUUAGCAUCAUGAGACUGCUGUUUGAUAAAUUCAGAAACAAACCAAAAAGCAAGCCAUGCAAAAAUAAAAAAAAAACUAUUUAAUGAUGCUCUCUCCACACUGGGAUAAAUAAUAAGAAACGGAUCACGUCUAAUGUGGACAUAUCAGACACCUUGUGAAACACUAAUAGAAAAAUUCAGUUUCGAGCUAUGGCACUUGCCGCAUAGAUGUGGGGGGGUCUUGCACCAUAGUAAUAGUUACCACUGCAUCUAGAAAUUUAAAGCACUCAUGCAGACAAGGAUGAUUCUUUAUAUUUUUGGCUACCACUUCAAAUGCCUCCACUAAGUGUUACAAUGCUGCACGCAGCCAUACUAAGGAUCUCACAGCAACAUUUGCAGGUAAACAGCAAAAGCAGUCAAAGUGCUGGUGUAUUCUGGACACUGUCUUUGAAAACAUUUAGGCAAGAACAGUGCAAGAAACAGACAUAAGAACUGCAUUUAUUUCUAUAAUUCCCCAUUUGAAUGGCCUUUUAUUUUUCCUUCGACAAUGCCUUCGCCUAGCCACAGCAGCUCCCUCAUACAGACUCCGCAAGCCAAGAGGCCGUGGAGGCAAAUGCAGACAGCCAGCACACCUCGAACAGCCACCUUGACUGCGGGUGUGUCACCCUAGUCGCCAAGGAAACAUUUGAGGGAAAGCGACAGGCAAUGUGAACAGCCACUUCUCCAUGUAAACGAUACUCUUUCUCUCGGAUGACUCCUACGUUCGCCACGCCAGCACACUUGUGCACAAAGAUGCCGCGGAGGCACGUGCAGGUCAGAGGCAAGAAGCAGUGGAACUGGUGUCGACAUUCGCCCAAUUUUUUUUUUCUUACACUGAGGCAGCCAGCACACCUCGAACAGCCACC